rnacentral:tRNA from 10 species
GCCGAGAUCGCAUAGCCUGGUAGUGCGCGCGACUGGAAAUCGCGUGGGCCUGUCCCUCGGGAGUUCAAAUCUCUCUCUCGGCGCCA